rnacentral:rRNA from 1 species
AUUGAACGCUGGCGGCAGGCCUAACACAUGCAAGUCGAACGAGUGGCGGACGGGUGAGUAAUGUCUGGGAAACUGCCUGAUGGAGGGGGAUAAAUACUGGAAACGGUAGCUACUACCGCAUACCAUCAGAUCUGCCAAGAUGGGAUUAGCUUGUUGGUGGGGUAACGGCGCACCAAGGCGACGAUCCCUAGCUGGUUUGAGAGGAUGACCAGCCACACUGGGACUGAGACACGGUCCAGACUCCUACGGGAGGCAGCAUUGGGGAAUGAUGCACAAUGGGCGCAAGCUUGAUGCAGCCGUGCCGCGUGUAUGAAGAAGGCCUUCGGGUUGUAAAGUACUUUCAGCGGUGAAGCGUUACCCGCAGAAGAAGCACCGGCUAACUCCGUGCCAGCAGCCGCGGUAAUAC